GUCCCCAGAAGGCGGGUGCCUUUGCUCCGCUGUUCCCUGAUUGAUGUAUUCCAAGCACUUAGACCUACACACGUCAGGUCUUAGAUGCUGAACCAGUUUCUGUUGACUUAAACAAAUGGCCUGUUCUGGGUCUUACAGGUUGUGAACAACAGCCCUGGAUCCUGAGCUGAGGUCUGCGAUCGCUAAAGCCCAGAAAGUCUGUCUUUUACCAAUGCCGUAACACAACCAGCAUAAUAAUGCUCCACUCACAUUGCCUUAUUCAUCGAGAGGUGGAUGGCGACACCUACUGAGGUGUCCCACCGCUGGCUGCUCCUCAGUACCCAAGUCUAGCGCAAUCCUUGCUCCCUGAAAUUGUACCUUGAUCCACUCAGCUAAAUCUGUGAAAAGCCCUCGGCAUCCUUCUCACCCAAGCACCC
rnacentral:lncRNA from 1 species